rnacentral:rRNA from 1 species
GAUGAACGCUGGCGGCGUGCCUAAUACAUGCAAGUCGAGCGAACAGACGAGGAGCUUGCUCCUUUGACGUUAGCGGCGGACGGGUGAGUAACACGUAGGUAACCUACCUAUAAGACUGGGAUAACUUCGGGAAACCGGAGCUAAUACCGGAUAAUAUUUUGAACCGCAUGGUUCGAUAGUGAAAGAUGGCUUUGCUGUCACUUAUAGAUGGAUCUGCGCCGUAUUAGCUAGUUGGUAAGGUAACGGCUUACCAAGGCAACGAUACGUAGCCGACCUGAGAGGGUGAUCGGCCACACUGGAACUGAGACACGGUCCAGACUCCUACGGGAGGCAGCAGUAGGGAAUCUUCCGCAAUGGGCGAAAGCCUGACGGAGCAACGCCGCGUGAGUGAUGAAGGUCUUCGGAUCGUAAAACUCUGUUAUUAGGGAAGAACAAACGUGUAAGUAACUGUGCACGUCUUGACGGUACCUAAUCAGAAAGCCACGGCUAACUACGUG